AUGCGCCUCUGCUCCAAGCUCGCCGCGCUGCUCCGGAGGUCCCGCCCGUUCGCCGCUGCCACCGCCGCCGCGUCCGUCUCCGCGACCGCCACCGCCGCCGCGGCCGCCAACGGGAUGGAGGAGGCGGCCGCGGGCCCGCUGCACACGCGCGUGUGCAUCAUUGGGAGCGGCCCCGCCGCGCACACGGCGGCCGUCUACGCGGCACGCGCCGAGCUCAAGCCCGUGCUCUUCGAGGGCUGGCUCGCCAACGACAUCGCGGCGGGCGGGCAGCUCACCACCACCACCGACGUCGAGAACUUCCCCGGCUUCCCCGACGGCAUCCUCGGCAUCGACCUCAUGGACCGCUGCCGCGCGCAGUCCGUGCGCUUCGGGACCAAGAUCUUCUCCGAGACCGUCACCUCCGUCGACUUCUCCUCCCGCCCCUUCCGCGUCACCUCCGACGACACCGUCGUCCACGCCGACUCCGUCGUCGUCGCCACGGGCGCCGUCGCCCGCCGCCUCCAUUUCGCCGGCUCCGACGCGUUCUGGAACCGUGGGAUCUCCGCCUGCGCCGUCUGCGACGGUGCCGCGCCCAUCUUCCGGAACAAGCCCAUCGCCGUCGUCGGUGGCGGGGACUCUGCCAUGGAGGAGGCCAACUUCCUCACCAAGUACGGCUCGCGCGUCUACAUCAUCCACCGCCGCGACGCCUUCCGCGCCUCCAAGAUCAUGCAGGCACGGGCUCUCUCCAACCCCAAAAUCCAGGUCGUGUGGGACUCCGAGGUCGUUGAGGCCUACGGCGGCUCGGACGGCGGCCCCUUGGGCGGCGUCAAGGUCAAAAACCUGGUGACCGGCGAGGUAUCCGACUUCCAGGUGGCCGGGCUCUUCUUUGCCAUUGGGCAUGAGCCAGCUACCAAGUUUCUCGCCGGACAGCUCGAGCUCGACUCCGAUGGGUACGUGGCCACCAAGCCGGGCUCCACGCACACCAGUGUGAAGGGGGUCUUCGCUGCCGGGGACGUUCAGGACAAGAAGUACCGCCAGGCCAUUACUGCCGCAGGAUCAGGCUGUAUGGCUGCUUUGGACGCGGAGCACUACCUGCAGGAGGUUGGCGCACAGGAAGGGAAGACUGAUUGA
rnacentral:rRNA from 1 species